AACGAACGCUGGCGGCAGGCUUAACACAUGCAAGUCGAACGGGCACCUUCGGGUGUCAGUGGCAGACGGGUGAGUAACGCGUGGGAACCUACCCAGUGGUACGGAAUAACUCGGGGAAACCCGAGCUAAUACCGUAUACGCCCUCAGGGGGAAAGAUUUAUCGCCAUUGGAUGGGCCCGCGUCGGAUUAGCUAGUUGGUGAGGUAACGGCUCACCAAGGCGACGAUCCGUAGCUGGUCUGAGAGGAUGAUCAGCCACACUGGGACUGAGACACGGCCCAGACUCCUACGGGAGGCAGCAGUGGGGAAUAUUGAACAAUGGGCGAAAGCCUGAUCCAGCCAUGCCGCGUGAGUGAAGAAGGCCUUAGGGUUGUAAAGCUCUUUCGGCGGGGAAGAUAAUGACGGUACCCGCAGAAGAAGCCCCGGCUAACUCCGUGCCAGCAGCCGCGGUAAUACGGAGGGGGCUAGCGUUGUUCGGAAUUACUGGGCGUAAAGCGCACGUAGGCGGACUGCU
rnacentral:rRNA from 1 species